UUCCGGUUGAUCCUGCCGGAGGUUACUGCUAUCGAGGUUCGACUAAGCCAUGCGAGUCGAAUGUAGCAAUACAUGGCGAACUGCUCAGUAACACGUGGACAACCUGCCCUUAGGACGGGGAUAAACCCGGGAAACUGGGUAUAAUACCCGAUAGGUCUCGAUUGCUGGAAUGCAUCGAGAUUUAAAGCUCCGGCGCCUAAGGAUGGGUCUGCGGCCUAUCAGGUAGUAGUGGGUGUAGCGUACCUACUAGCCUACGACGGGUACGGGUUGUGAGAGCAAGAGCCCGGAGAUGGAUUCUGAGACACGAAUCCAGGCCCUACGGGGUGCAGCAGGCGCGAAAACUUUACAAUGCUGGCAACAGCGAUAAGGGAACCUCGAGUGCCAGGUUACAAAUCUGGCUGUCGAGAUGCCUAAAAAGCAUUUCAUAGCAAGGGCCGGGCAAGACCGGUGCCAGCCGCCGCGGUAACACCGGCGGCUCGAGUGGUAACCGUUAUUAUUGGGUCUAAAGGGUCUGUAGCCGGCCGGAUAAGUCUCUUGAGAAAUCUGGCAGCUUAACUGUCAGGCUUUCAGGAGAUACUGUCUGGCUCGAGGCCGGGAGAGGUGAGAGGUACUUCAGGGGUAGGGGUGAAAUCUUGUAAUCCUUGAAGGACCACCAGUGGCGAAGGCGUCUCACCAGAACGGACCUGACGGCAAGGGACGAAAGCUAGGGGCACGAACCGGAUUAGAUACCCGGGUAGUCCUAGCCGUAAACGAUACUUGCUAGGUGUCGGCCACGGUGCGACCGUUGUCGGUGCCGUAGGGAAGCCGUGAAGCGAGCCACCUGGGAAGUACGGCCGCAAGGCUGAAACUUAAAGGAAUUGGCGGGGGAGCACCACAACGGGUGGAGCUUGCGGUUUAAUUGGAGUCAACGCCGGG
rnacentral:rRNA from 1 species